rnacentral:rRNA from 1 species
GAUGAACGCUGGCGGUAUGCUUAACACAUGCAAGUCGAACGGUCACUUCGGUGUUAGUGGCGGACGGGUGAGUAACGCGUGGGAAUCUGCAUUCAGGUCGGGGACAAUAGUUAGAAAUGACUGCUAAUACAGGAUGUGCCUUUGGGUGAAAGAUUUAUUGCCUGAAAAAGAGCUCGCGUCAGAUUAGCUCGUAGGUGGUGUAAGAGACUACCUAGGCUCCGAUCUGUAGCUGGUCUGAGAGGACGAUCAGCCACACUGGAACUGAGACACGGUCCAGACUCCUACGGGAGGGAGCAGUGUGGAGUUUUCCGCAAUGGGCGAAAGCCUGACGAAGCAAUACCGCGUGAGAGACGAAGGCUUUUGUGCCGUAAACCUCUUUGCUCAAGGGAGAUGAUGACGGUACUUGAGGAAUAAGCAGCGGCUAACUCUGUG